rnacentral:rRNA from 1 species
AUGACAUCCCUCCAGCUUCAGGAAACGGUCCAGCCUCUUCGUGAUGUCAUUGACUCCAUGCAAGGUUGGAUGUUGCGGAUGGAGAGCUUCGUGGAGCGUGUUGAGGCUGCACUUGGCGAUCUCUCCAUGGCGACGCCUGUGUUGCAGACUGCUCAUGUAUUGCGUCCUUUGGUUGUGCUUGUUGACACCUUUGAGGUCGGGAUGGGUGCCGAGCUUCAUGGUCGUUUCUCCCCUCGUGCUAGAGCAUGUUCUCCGUCGUCAGCCUCUGAGGGACUGGACAAUGAUGUGGUUGUGACUCCGGUGCUGGAGAUCAUGCCUGAGUUGAGGGAGUUGUGUGAGGGUCCGGUUCUGCCUCUGUCCGUCGAACAACGGAAGGUAGACCCCCCCGAGAUCUCGAUUGUGGCUUUACCGCCAUCAUCACCCCUGGAGUCUAGCCAGAUACCUGAUGCCAAGGGGUGUGGUGAUUUGGAUGUUGCAGUCUCUGCCAUUCCCUCGUCUGCGACCAUCGAGCAUGUGAUGCAUGUGAGUGACAUGACCACUGAGCCAAGUGUGGUUGCACCUACUCCAAAUCCAAAUGCUCUCUUCGCGAAAGAACUUUGUGACUUGCUCGCCAGUGUGGAGGUUGCUAGACCUGGUUUGGGCAGGUCAAUUGCUUGCCUUCUGACGGGGACACCAAUAAGAGGCAAACACAAGAAGGUGGGUAAAGGCAAGAGUGGUGCCAUAGGCAAGGCGUCUCUGACUACUUGA